UGGGGAAUAUUGCACAAUGGGGGAAACCCUGAUGCAGCGACGCCGCGUGAGCGAAGAAGGUUUUCGAAUCGUAAAGCUCUGUCCUAUGAGAAGAUAAUGACGGUAUCAUAGGAGGAAGCCCCGGCUAAAUACGUGCCAGCAGCCGCGGUAAUACGUAGGUGGCAAGCGUUGUCCGGAAUUAUUGGGCGUAAAGCGCGCGCAGGCGGACUAGCCAGUCAGUCUUAAAAGUUCGGGGCUUAACCCCGUGAUGGGAUUGAAACUACUAGUCUAGAGUAUCGGAGAGGAAAGUGGAAUUCCUAGUGUAGCGGUGAAAUGCGUAGAUAUUAGGAAGAACACCAGUGGCGAAGGCGACUUUCUGGACGAACACUGACGCUGAGGCGCGAAAGCCAGGGGAGCGAACGGG
rnacentral:rRNA from 1 species